AUUGAACGCUGGCGGCAGGCUUAACACAUGCAAGUCGAACGAGUGGCGGACGGGUGAGUAAUGCAUGGGAAUCUGGCUGAUGGAGGGGGAUAACUACGGGAAACUGUAGCUAAUACCGCGUACCAUAGGAUGAGCCCAUGUGGGAUUAGGUAGUUGGUGGGGUAAAGGCUCACCUAGGCGACGAUCUCUAGCUGGUCUGAGAGGAUGACCAGCCACACUGGGACUGAGACACGGCCCAGACUCCUACGGGAGGCAGCAGUGGGGAAUAUUGCGCAAUGGGGGCAACCUGAUGCAGCCAUGCCGCGUGAAUGAAGAAGGCCUUAGGGUUGUAAAGUUCUUUCGGUAGCGAGGCGUUAACUACAGAAGAAGCACCGGCUAACUCCGUGCCAGCAGCCGCGGUAAUUC
rnacentral:rRNA from 1 species